ensembl:ncRNA lncRNA:CR45406 long non-coding RNA:CR45406
ACUGCAUAACAGUAGUUCGCCGAAUGGCAUUUUAAUUGUCACUUGGCGCUGGUAAAUUACACAUUAUUUAUUCGCAGUACACUGCCAUCAACAUAGACCCAGUCAUAUGGAGCUGGGUUUCCAUUGUGGCCACAAGACGCGGCGAUACAUUUUCCUUUCGACUUGGUUUGCUAUCUUCGCAGGUCAUUGCUGGCCACGAUUGUGCAAUUUCAUUGUAAAACCACUUUUCAUUAACAACCGUCGGUGGUGGAAAACCGCUAGCAAAAAUACAAAAAAAAAAAAACCGUCAAAAGUUGCCAAUUAAGAUCUUGGUAAAUGUUUUCAGUCCGAGUAUAUCAAAAACCAUAGACUAAAUGUUAAGGUUGACUCCGUCUUCGUCUGAUAAAUUGAUACACAUAAAAUUUGGAGCAUAAAACUGUCGUAUGGCUCAAAAAAAACUCGGAUACUCGGCGAAUGUGAAUUGCUGAAUGCAAAUGCCAAAAUGUGAACUGCCAGCCUCAUCAUCAUCAUCAUCAUCGUCAACGCCGUCAUGAUCAUCAUUGAUUUAAGUGGAGUCGACCAGAAACUGUUGCAUUUCUGCUUGCUGCAGCCGGAAAAAAAUCUACUAAAAAUACAGCAAAAAGCACUUGAAAUUAAAUGAAAAAAAAAAAAAUAGAAAAAAAUAUAUAUAUAACUG